rnacentral:rRNA from 1 species
CAUGCAAGUCGAGCGGUAACAGAAAGUAGCUUGCUACUUUGCUGACGAGCGGCGGACGGGUGAGUAACGCUUGGGAACAUGCCUUGAGGUGGGGGACAACAGUUGGAAACGACUGCUAAUACCGCAUAAUGUCUACGGACCAAAGGGGGCUUCGGCUCUCGCCUUUAGAUUGGCCCAAGUGGGAUUAGCUAGUUGGUGAGGUAAUGGCUCACCAAGGCAACGAUCCCUAGCUGGUUUGAGAGGAUGAUCAGCCACACUGGGACUGAGACACGGCCCAGACUCCUACGGGAGGCAGCAGUGGGGAAUAUUGCACAAUGGGCGCAAGCCUGAUGCAGCCAUGCCGCGUGUGUGAAGAAGGCCUUCGGGUUGUAAAGCACUUUCAGUCAGGAGGAAAGGUUAGUAGUUAAUACCCGCUAGCUGUGACGUUACUGACAGAAGAAGCACCGGCUAACUCCGUGCCAGCAGCCGCGGUAAUACGGAGGGUGCGAGCGUUAAUCGGAAUUACUGGGCGUAAAGCGUACGCAGGCGGUUUGUUAAGCGAGAUGUGAAAGCCCCGGGCUCAACCUGGGAACUGCAUUUCGAACUGGCAAACUAGAGUGUGAUAGAGGGUGGUAGAAUUUCAGGUGUAGCGGUGAAAUGCGUAGAGAUCUGAAGGAAUACCGAUGGCGAAGGCAGCCACCUGGGUCAACACUGACG